rnacentral:rRNA from 1 species
UACGUAGGGUGCGAGCGUUAAUCGGAAUUACUGGGCGUAAAGCGUGCGCAGGCGGUUUUGUAAGCCAGAUGUGAAAUCCCCGGGCUUAACCUGGGAAUGGCAUUUGGGACUGCAAGGCUGGAGUGUGGCAGAGGAGACUGGAAUUCCUGGUGUAGCAGUGAAAUGCGUAGAUAUCAGGAGGAAUACCGAUGGCGAAGGCAGGUCUCUGGGCCGAUACUGACGCUGAGGAGCGAAAGCGUGGGGAGCGAACAGG